GACAGUGUGGCCGAGUGGUCUAAGGCGGUGGACUCGAAAUCCAUUGGGCUCUGCCCACGCAGGUUCAAAUCCUGCCACUGUCG